rnacentral:rRNA from 1 species
GACGAACGCUGGCGGCGUGCUUAACACAUGCAAGUCGAACGGUAAGGCCCUUCGGGGUACACGAGUGGCGAACGGGUGAGUAACACGUGGGUGAUCUGCCCUGCACUUCGGGAUAAGCCUGGGAAACUGGGUCUAAUACCGGAUAGGACCACUGCCUGCAUGGGUGGUGGUGGAAAGCUUUUGCGGUGUGGGAUGGGCCCGCGGCCUAUCAGCUUGUUGGUGGGGUGAUGGCCUACCAAGGCGACGACGGGUAGCCGGCGUGAGAGGGUGACCGGCCAGACGGGGACUGAGAUCCGGCCCAGACUGCUACGGGAGGCAGCAGGGGGGAAUAUUGCACGAUGGGCGCAAGCCUGAUGCAGCGACGCCGCGUGAGGGAUGACGGCCUUCGGGUUGUAAACCUCUUUCAGCACCGACGAAGCGCAAGUGACGGUAGGUGCAGAAGAAGGACCGGCCAACUACGUGCCAGCAGCCGCCGUAACAC